AUGACAGUAAUGACAUCACUUAUUUUGCAAAACUUCUCUGUUAAUUUUCAGAGAAGGAAGAAAGGAAAAGCUAAGGGGAAAUCAUACCAUCUAGCCUUAGAUAGUUCCCAUUAUUCUCAGCUGAAAGGCAUAGGCAAUACAUGUGACCAUGCUCAGGCACUGUGCCGAGAAGAAGAUGGCUUGCCCUGGAUAGCCGUGCUCCUCUUCUUCCAUAACAGAGAAAUCCAGGGCAACGGCUCCAGCUCAGGCUUUUGCCUUUGUGACACCUGGGCUGAUGUCUCCCAUCCAACUUCAGUGUGAACAAGGCUUAAUACUCCUGAUGUGUUUG
rnacentral:lncRNA from 1 species